UGAUGACAAAACUCCGGAAUCUCUGUAUUUACGUGAUGAGUACUUUGAACCCAUUAAUCUGAUGACUGCUUAGU